rnacentral:rRNA from 1 species
UACGGGGGGUGCGAGCGUUGUCCGGAAUCACUGGGCGUAAAGGGCGCGUAGGCGGCUCAUGAAGGCUGUGGUGAAAGUCCGGGGCUCAACCUCGGAUCGGCCGUGGCGACUCGUGGGCUGGAGCACUGUAGAGGCGGGUGGAAUUCCGGGUGUAGCGGUGGAAUGCGUAGAGAUCCGGAAGAACACCAGUGGCGAAGGCGGCCCGCUGGGCAGUGGCUGACGCUGAAGC